rnacentral:rRNA from 1 species
UUGAACGCUGGCGGCAGGCCUAACACAUGCAAGUCGAACGGUAACGGGAAGCAGCUUGCUGCUUUGCUGACGAGUGGCGGACGGGUGAGUAAUGUCUGGGAAACUGCCCGAUGGAGGGGGAUAACUACUGGAAACGGUAGCUAAUACCGCAUAACGUCGCAAGACCAAAGAGGGGGACCUUAGGGCCUCUUGCCAUCGGAUGUGCCCAGAUGGGAUUAGCUAGUAGGUGGGGUAACGGCUCACCUAGGCGACGAUCCCUAGCUGGUCUGAGAGGAUGACCAGCCACACUGGAACUGAGACACGGUCCAGACUCCUACGGGAGGCAGCAGUGGGGAAUAUUGCACAAUGGGCGCAAGCCUGAUGCAGCCAUGCCGCGUGUAUGAAGAAGGCCUUCGGGUUGUAAAGUACUUUCAGCGGGGAGGAAGGGAGUAAAGUUAAUACCUUUGCUCAUUGACGUUACCCGCAGAAGAAGCACCGGCUAACUCCGUG